rnacentral:lncRNA from 1 species
CUUUUUUUUUUUUUUUUUUUUUUUUUUUUUGGUCUUUUGUCCUUUUGGGGCCACAUUCGCGGCAUAUAGAGGUUCCUAAGCUAAGGGUGAAUCGGAGCUAUUGCUGCCAGCCUAUGCCACAGCCAUAGCCACAGCAACACCACAUUGAAGCCGCAUCUGCAGCCUACACCACAGCUCACAGCAAAACCUGAUCCUUAACCCACUGAGAGAGGCCAGGGAUUGAACCCUCAACCUCAUGGUUCCCAGUCGGAUUUGUUUUCUCUGCGCCACGACAGGAAAUCCAAAGACUUAGUAAGCUUCCCCAUAUACACACUUUCUCUUUUCUUACAUAUUUACAGUUGUAUUAGCUAUUCUUUGGCAUUCUUUUUCUAUUGAAUUUUAAGAUCAUUUUAUUUAAUUCCAAGAAAAAUCUUGUUGGAAUUUUAGUUGGAACUGUAUUGAAUUUAUAUAUUAAAAUUUCCCGAAUUAACAGUUUUUUCUUGUCUUUCCUUCUAGGAACAUGAUAUAACUUUCAAUUUAUUAAAAUCCUAUUUUGUGUCUUUUAAUCAUUUUUCCCCCUUAAUUUGUUUCAAUGUAGAUCCUGUCUAUCUUGUUACAUUUAUUUAUAAGUAUUUAGAAUUUUGUCACUAACAUGAUUUGCAUGGAUUUUUAUUAGCAGUAUGAAGAUUAUUUGGGCAUAUGAAAGAAACUUUCAGACACUCUCCAGUCACUGGAAGUCGUAACUGAAUUGAAAACUCCUUCUCAUAUUAUCGGGAAGGAAAGGUGGAUUUGCAUCUCUCUAAGGCAAUUUAGGUAAAGUCUUGCUAAAAGGUUGGGGGAGGACCAGAUGAGCUCUGGAAGUCCUACGAAGAGGAGGAAUCUGGAACAUUCCUGUUUUAGCCAGCCUCCUAAUGUCAGGUUUCUGUUUGUGAGAGCUCUUGACUUAAUUAGCCAGUUUUUCUAGUGGGUAUAGGGACAUGUAGGAGACCUUAUAAAACAUGGUGGGAUAAUUCAUGGUAAAGAAUUCCCAAAGAAGGUUUCCUUCUGUUUGUUUUUUCCCUCUUAGAAAUUCCAUUUUGCUGUUAAAAUGAUAUAUUUAGGUUGUUUUGUUUUAACAAUGAAUACCUUUUUGUCAUUGUUGUUUACUUCCAAAGGUAAAUACCUACAAUAACUAUACUCAUUCAUUCAUUUUGUAUGUUCACAAAUAAUGGAAGGAAUUUUAGCACUGGAGGCCAGAGAUAAGAUGCUUUGCUGUGUAUCUUUUCAUUCAGCCUUCAAAACAACACAAUGAAGUGGACAUAGUUCAUUUUUUUGUUUGUAUAUCAUUUUUAACAAUUAGGAAAUUAAGGCCCCGAAGAAAUUAAGUUAUUGGACCAAGAUCACACAGCUAGCUAAUGAUAAAGCUCCCAUGCAGCCAAGUGGCUGACUCAGAAGACCUAACCACUAUACUAUACUCCCUUCACACAGUGAAUUUGAGGUAGGAAUGUAGGACUUACCCUCUGACUUCCAUUUCCACGUCUGCAAAGCAAAGGGUUUUUAAUAGAUGGUAUCAUCUGGCUCUAGAUUCUCAUUAUGCAGAAAAUUGAGUUUAUGGAAUUUAUAAAUCAAGGGUUUUACAUAUAAACACCCCCAAAUUUGCUUUACUAUAUGUAGAUUUCUCAGCUAUGAUUUCCAUUUCAUUUUUCAUCAUGUGCUCAUUUUGUCCUUAAAUAUGGUCUUUGCUAUGCUGGGUUUUUAUGCACACUAAGUUUUUAUAGCACUUCCCUCUAUGGUUACUAAAAUAAACUUCCAUAGUGUGUUUGUGGGGGAGGGGAGCAAAUAGAAAACCUGUAGGUUAUUAGCAGUAGAAUAUGAGGAAGAAUGAUAGAAUGUGGUCACUUGAGUUCAUAUUUGUCUACUCAUUUAAACUGUUGUUGCUCUUCUUUCAGACUAUAUAAAACAGAUUUAAGCAAGUUCCCGUCCUCAUGGCAACGCCGAAUCCUUAACCCACUGAACAAGGCCAGGGAUCGAACCUGCAACCUCAUGGUUCCUAGUUGGAUUCGUUAACCACUGUUCCACUACAGGAACUCCCAACAAUCUAAUUUUAAAAUGGGCAAAAGAAUUGAAAAACUUUUCUCCAAAAAAGAUAUACAAAUUGCCAAUAAGCACAUGAAAAGAUACUCAGUUAUCAUUAGUCAUCAGGGAAAUGCAAAUCAAAACCACAAUGGGAUAUGUACUCCAUACCUGCUAAGAUGGCUAUUAUCAAAACAAACAAAAAAUUUUUAAUGUUGAUAAGAGACUUCUGGUUUCUGGUCUGGCAUGGAAGACAUUUGGACAUCUCCAUAAGAGAAGUGAUGUUACAGGGCAAACCAUUGCUGCCAGUAUUGGAGAGACAGACAGGUGGAAACAGAGAAUCGUGACACUGGAACAAAAACCCACGAGCAGAAACCACUGUAGGAACCAGGGCCAGGGUAGGAAAAACAUGAACUGUAAUUGAAAAAUUAAUGGAAGCCUAGUGUGGAUGAGUAUAGAAGUUAAAAAUCUUGGAGGGACCCAGAUAUAGAGGGGGGAAGGGGUCUGCACUUUUGUGUUUCACCUCCAAUACCUUAACUUAGUUCUCACAGUGAAUAUCAGAGAAAAGAAUGAGGGCAACAAAUAGAAAAUUGUAAAAAAAAAAAAA